GGGAUUGCCCUAGUAUCGGCGAGUGAAGCGGCGAGAGCUCAAAUUUGAAAGCUGGCCCCUUCGGGGUCCGCGUUGUAAUUUGCAGAGGAUGCUUCGGGUGCGGCCCCUGUCUAAGUGCUCCUGGAACGGCCCGUCACAGAGGGUGAGAAUCCCGUCUUGGGCAGGGUGCCCGUGCCCGUGUGAAGCUCCUUCCACGAGUCGAGUUGUUUGGGAAUGCAGCUCUAAAUGGGUGGUAAAUUUCAUCUAAAGCUAAAUACCGGCCGGAGACCGAUAGCCCACAAGUAGAGUGAUCGAAAGAUGAAAAGCACUUUGAAAAGAGAGUUAAACAGCACGUGAAAUUGUUGAAAGGGAAGCGCUUGCGACCAGACUCCGCCCCGGGGUUCAGCCAGCAUUCGUGCUGGUGUACUUCCCCGGGGGCGGGCCAGCGUCGGUUUGGGCGGCCGGUCAAAGGCCCCAGGAAUGUAUCGCCCUCCGGGGUUGUCUUAUAGCCUGGGGUGCAAUGCGGCCAGCCCGGACCGAGGAACGCGCUUCGGCACGGACGCUGGCGUAAUGGUCGCAAACGACCCGUCUUGAAACACGGACCAAGGAGUCUAACAUCUACGCGAGUGUUCGGGUGUCAAACCCGUACGCGCAGUGAAAGCGAACGGAGGUGGGAGCCCCCCCGGGGCGCACCAUCGACCGAUCCUGAUGUCUUCGGAUGGAUUUGAGUAAGAGCGUAGCUGUGGGGACCCGAAAGAUGGUGAACUAUGCCUGAAUAGGGCGAAGCCAGAGGAAACUCUGGUGGAGGCUCGCAGCGGUUCUGACGUGCAAAUCGAUCGUCAAAUUUGGGUAUAGGGGCGAAAGACUAAUCGAACCAUCUGGUAGCUGGUUCCUGCCGAAGUUUCCCUCAGGAUAGCAGUAACGCGGAUCAGUUUUAUGAGGUAAAGCGAAUGAUUAGAGGCAUUGGGGUUGAAACAACCUUAACCUAUUCUCAAACUUUAAAUAUGUAAGAAGCCCUUGUUGCUUAGUUGA
rnacentral:rRNA from 1 species